CCCUUUUACACACACACCAUCCCUUAGAAGGCCAGGCAAAAAAAGAGGAAAACAAAUAUGGCCCAGUCAAGUGAUCCUGAAUGUCUCUUCCUCAGGAUACGAGUCUUUUGGGAGGUAUUUGUUAAGUGUUAAAUGAAAAGAAAUAUCCCCAAAUCAAAUAAGUUUGAGAAGGGCUGGAUUAUACAAAGAUUGAUUACAAGGCUUCUCAGAGUCUCUAACGUGCACUGUGCAUUGUGAAAUCGCCCAAGAACGGGAGACUUUUGUUUGAAUCAGUACAGCCUUUUUCCCUAGAUGACUCUUGAAGCUGUGCUUCUGUUGUGGGCGCUGUGAUCUGGGCCAGAGGCAGGAGGACGAGAGGCUUUCCUCUGCUUGGCAGCCUCGUCCAGUUCAUCUCCUGAGGCCUGGACUACUCAGAAACCAUACCUGGGCUUAGUCAUGAUUUAAUGAAAUCAGAAAGUCAAUGAUUUCAAUAGAUUAAGGACUGGUUCCUGAGUAUUUUGUUUCUUUCCCACCUGGAGUGUGCUCGUCUACAGGCAAGAAAGCAACUCAGAAGGCAGUUAAUAGCCCAGAGGAGCAUGUUGAGGCAGCAACAGACAUUCCUACAUCCAGCUGAUCAAACCCUGUCCUAAAUCUCACGUCAAGAAGCAGUUAAAUCUCUCAGAGGCCUGACUUUCACCGUAAGCUACUAACAUACAAUCCAUCUGGUAAGGAACAAAAAAACAAGUUAAAACUUGCAGAUUUUCCUACAGCUGUAAUAUAAGAUGUUCUUCCCAGGAAUAAGCAAUCCUUUGGAGUUUUGUUUUAGAAAAAAAGGAGGAGUUCCACUUUCAAUUCUCUUUCAGCGUACAUGUAUUGAACGUUUAUUCCUGGAGCUGACGACCAGUGAGAUGCAGCUUUGUGAGAAAGUGCUCACACGUCUGAGCAAAACAGAUGUCUGUGUGAUGGAAACUUGUACAGUUUACAGUAUCCUUUGCGGUAUCUGGGAAAUGAAAAGUCACCAUCUCGUUUCCUGGGAAAUGAACGUCGUCAUUCUACAGGAAUUCAACAUUUUUUAGCAAUCUGACUUCAUUGGGCCUGUAGGAGAAGUGUUGUCUCAAAUGCCACAGGAGAAAGGACAGGUGUGUCUGUUGCAUUGCAUUUAGGACAAAGUCUGUGAGGGCUUGUGGAUGAAGAAUGACGGAAGAGUUGGGAACUGCAGUUAAACCAAUAAUCAUGAUUUCAAGGAGUAAAAUGAAGAUGAUGGUCAGCUGAACAGUAAGGUGGAAUAAAAUCAUUUUGGAAAUACCGUGCCUCUUUUUAAUUUUCGUGACAUCUACCAUUCCUCACCUUUAACUAGUAAUUAUGGACCCCAAGUUUUACCAUCAUGGACCACAUCAUCUUAGAACAUCAGGCCUGAGCCCGAGGUGUCUGGAUAAUCUCAUUUCCUCAGUGAGACAUCAGUUUGGCCAGUAGACACAGCGUGGACUGGAAUUCUGACUUUACCCCUCCCUGGCUGCAUGACUCUGGGGAGUUACUUUAACUUUCUGAGUCACUGGGAAAAUGGAGUGGACAAUUACCGCUUCACUGGAUGGUUCAGGGAAUAAGAUGAGGUGAUGUUUUCAUCAUGCUUGGCUCCUGGGCACUCAAUACAAGGUAGCCUUGAUGGCCUCCUAUAGACUGGUCUGUCACCCAGGGGUUCCCCAGACUUCAGCUUCUCCAGUCUAAUUCCCCUGCUUUUCACAGUGGCCCAGGAAUCAUCUUAGAGCAGAAAGCAAAUUCCAUAGUGGGAAGAAGAUGAAAACUUCCCUGCUGAAUCUCCUCGUCUCUCCAGCUCCUCCUCGUGCCUCCUGGUUCUGCUCACUUCACUUCUGCUAAUCCGUAAUUCACACCAAACUCUAUCCUGAAGAACUCAAAUCAGGGAAAACUUGCAGGAACACAAAAUGAAAGGACUCCCUUUACUACUAGGGUUGCAGUGGGAGAUAGUAUGUUCUUGCUAACCUAGGAGGAAAUAUUGAAUAAGCUUUUCUAUUAAAGAAACGCAUUUGUGCUACUUAGGGUAAAUAAUGCAUCAGGUCAAACAGUAGCACUUAGCUUCCUUUUCUGAAAAAAAAAAUGAUUUUUUUUUUUUCUUAGAGUAUUCUGAUACUUUCCUGAAGUUAAUGUUUUAUGUGUAUAUGAAAGUAUGGGUGUGACAUAGACUGCUCGUUACCCUCACGACGUCCUUUCUCUCCUUCUCCCAUCACAAGAGAAUUUUUGUUAGGACACGCGGUGCCCAGUGUAAAGACUGUAUUUCCCUGACUCACGUGGCAGCUGAGUUGAAGGCAUGUGAGUAAAUGCUAGCAGCUUGCAGCACGGAAGUAAAGUAUAAUCCUACAGCCUCUCAAAACCUUCCUUAACACAGUGGGCACAUACCUACUUUGCCCUCAUUUAUCCCCUUUCUCCAUUCUGCCUGGAAUGCUGACAUUACCUGCCUGACCACAAGGAGGAAGGCCACACUCUGGUGUGGUGGGACAUGAUCUCAGUGGAACCCGGUCAUACCAGUUCAGGGCCACUUACCUUCAGACACUGCACACAUGAGAGAGAAAUAAAAUUUUAUUGGGUGUAAGCUAUUAUUAUUUUAGUUUUUAUAUAUCUCACAAUCAAACUUAAUUCUAACCAUCACUUCUUAACACUAGAGAGCAAAAUGUUUUAGUUUUUGUAUCUCACAAUCAAAAUUCUAUCACUUCUUAACACUAUUAUAUAGAGCAAAACCAAAUCAAGAAAAUUUCCAAACCAGAAGAUACAGUGUUUCUGUCCUAGAUCAAAAUGCCAAUUAGAAGAUUAAACUGCUUGUGAGAAUACAGAAAAAGAGAAGUAAACUUGUGUGCCUGAUCACCCAACAGAACUGAUGAGACAUCCAAGAUGAAUGUUGUUUUCAUACCUGCUGACGCAACAUUCAUUCUGCAGCCCAUGGACCAAAGAGUAAUUUUGACUUCCCAGUCUUCUUAUUUAAAAAUUACAUUGUGUAUGGGUAUAGCUGCCAUUGAUAGUGAUUCCUCUGAAGGAUCGGGGCAAAGUAAACUGAAAGCCUUCGGAAAAGGAUUCACCAUUCUAGAGGUCAUUAAGAACAUUCGUGACUCAUGGGAAGAGAUCAGAAUAUCAACAUGAACAAGUGUUGGGAAGAAGUUGAUCCCAACCCUCAUGGAUGCCUUGGAGGGGUUCAGGACUUCCGUAGAUGAAGUAACUGCUGAUGCGGUGGAAACAGCCAGAGAACGAGAAUUGGAAGGGGAGCCUGAAGCUGGGACUGAAUUGCUACAGUCCCCUGAUAAAAGUUUAAUGCAAGAGCAGUUGCUUCUUAUGAAUGAGCAAAGAAAGUGGUUUCUUGAGAAGGAAUCUACUCCUGGUGAAGAUACCAUGAGCAUUGUUGAAAUGACAACGAAGGAUUUAGAAUAUUACAUCAACUAGCUGAUGAAGCAGCAGCAGGAUUGGAGAGGAAUGAUUCUAAUUUUGAAAGAAGUUCUGCUGGGGGUGAAAUAUUGUCAAACAGCAUCACAUGCUGCAAGGAAAUCAUAUGUGAAAGGAAUUUGUCAAUUGAUGGGGCAGACUUCAUUGUUGUCUUAUUUUAAGAAAUUGCCACAGCUACCCCAGCCUUCAGCGGCCAUCACUCAUCGGUCAGCAGCCAUGAAUGUUGAGGCAAGACCCUCGACCAGGAAGAUGACCACUCUCAAUGCUCAGAUGAUGGUUAGUACUUUCUUUAGCAAUGAAGUAGGUGUAAAUUAAGGUAUACACUGGGCGUUUUUUAGACAUAAUGCUGUUGCACACUUAAUACACUAAACCUAACUCUUGUAUGCAUUGGGAAACCAAAAAAUUCAUUGCAAUACUCACUUUACUGUGGUGGUCUGGCACUAAACCGCAGGGUCUCUGAGGUUUGCUUAUGUAAAGGCCGAGUCCCUUUGACCUUUAUAGGAUUUAACUGUGACCACAUGAGAAUCUUUUAAAUAACUGUGAAAAAUAUUAGAAGUCAUUUAGGUUAAUAGAGGAAAAAAAGCCAGUUAGAGGGGCGCACGGGAGGCUCAGUCAUUAAGCAU